UGUAAUUGAUGUGAAAAGUAUGUUACAAGAGGAGUAAUGAAUAUGCAUUUAUCAUAUUAAAAUUUAAGUGUAUAAAUAUCCAGGGAUUCUAGCUACAACUCUAAUUUUCUCUUAACAGACGUUCAAAGUUACUGACUAGAAGCAGCCAUGAACAUUAAACUGUUGGUGACGCUUUUGAUGGUGGGUCUAAUGAUGUCCACAGUUAGCGCAGUUACCUGCAAGGUCGGGUGUGACAACUCACGCAGAAUCUGUACAGCAGGAUGUAAAGCGAGACCCAUGGGAAUUGUGGAGAGAAGAAAGUGCACCAAGAACUGCGACACAGUUUCCGCGAUCUGCAAAAGGGGAUGUGACAGAAACAAGCCCACUCCAUGGAACAACUAGACCAUGAAUGUAAAAUUGUCAAAGUGAAUUUUGCAAAUAAAAUUGAACAAGUUUGAGUUUUAA